GAUGAACGCUAGCGAUAGGCUUAACACAUGCAAGUCGAGGGGCAGCAUGGUCUUAGCUUGCUAAGACUGAUGGCGACCGGCGCACGGGUGCGUAACGCGUAUGCAACUUGCCUCACAGAGGGGGAUAACCCGUCGAAAGACGGACUAAUACCGCGUACACUUGGGAUAGGGCAUCCUGACCCAAGGAAAUGAAAUUCGCUGUGAGAUAGGCAUGCGUCCCAUUAGCUAGUUGGUGAGGUAACGGCUCACCAAGGCGACGAUGGGUAGGGGAACUGAGAGGGUCAACCCCCACACUGGUACUGAGACACGGACCAGACUCCUACGGGAGGCAGCAGUGCGGAAUAUUGGUCAAUGGGCGAGAGCCUGAACCAGCCAAGUCGCGUGAAGGAUGACUGUCUUAUGGAUUGUAAACUUCUUUUAUACGGGAAUAACAAGAGCCACGUGUGGCUCCCUGCAUGUACCGUAUGAAUAAGCAUCGGCUAACUCCGUG
rnacentral:rRNA from 1 species